rnacentral:rRNA from 1 species
AGAGUUUGAUCAUGGCUCAGGACGAACGCUGGCGGCGUGCCUAAUACAUGCAAGUAGAACGCUGAAGACUGGUGCUUGCACUAGUCAGAUGAGUUGCGAACGGGUGAGUAACGCGUAGGUAACCUACCUCAUAGCGGGGGAUAACUAUUGGAAACGAUAGCUAAUACCGCAUGACAAUUAAGUACUCAUGUACUAAAUUUAAAAGGAGCAAUUGCUUCACUAUGAGAUGGACCUGCGUUGUAUUAGCUAGUUGGUGAGGUAACGGCUCACCAAGGCCACGAUACAUAGCCGACCUGAGAGGGUGAUCGGCCACACUGGGACUGAGACACGGCCCAGACUCCUACGGGAGGCAGCAGUAGGGAAUCUUCGGCAAUGGGGGCAACCCUGACCGAGCAACGCCGCGUGAGUGAAGAAGGUUUUCGGAUCGUAAAGCUCUGUUGUUAGAGAAGAACGGUAAUGGGAGUGGAAAAUCCAUUACGUGACGGUAACUAACCAGAAAGGGACGGCUAACUACGUGCCAGCAGCCGCGGUAAUACGUAGGUCUCGAGCGUUGUCCGGAUUUAUUGGGCGUAAAGCGAGCGCAGGCGGUUAUUUAAGUCUGAAGUUAAAGGCCGUGGCUCAACCAUGGUUCGCUUUGGAAACUGGAUAACUUGAGUGCAGAAGGGGAGAGUGGAAUUCCAUGUGUAGCGGUGAAAUGCGUAGAUAUAUGGAGGAACACCGGUGGCGAAAGCGGCUCUCUGGUCUGUAACUGACGCUGAGGCUCGAAAGCGUGGGGAGCAAACAGGAUUAGAUACCCUGGUAGUCCACGCCGUAAACGAUGAGUGCUAGGUGUUAGGCCCUUUCCGGGGCUUAGUGCCGCAGCU